AGUGACAGGUAACCACCGAAGGAAGCACCGGCUAAUCUCCGUGCCAGCAGCCGCGGUAAUACGGAGGGUGCAGGCGUUAUUCGGAAUUACUGGGCGUAAAGCGCGUGCAGGCGGGCCGGCAAGUCUGAUGUGAAAGCCCCGGGCUCAACCCGGGAAGUGCAUUGGAAACUGUUGGUCUUGAGUUCUGGAGAGGAUGGGGGAAUUCCCGGUGUAGAGGUGAAAUUCGUAGAGAUCGGGAGGAAUACCAGUGGCGAAGGCGCCCAUCUGGACAGAAACUGACGCUGAGACGCGAAAGCGUGGGGAGUAAACAGGAUUAGAUAACCCUGGUAGUCCACGCUGUAAACCGAUGAGCACUAGGUGUCGCGGGUA
rnacentral:rRNA from 1 species